rnacentral:rRNA from 1 species
GUGGGGAAUUUUGGACAAUGGGCGCAAGCCUGAUCCAGCAAUGCCGCGUGCAGGAAGAAGGCCUUCGGGUUGUAAACUGCUUUUGUACGGAACGAAAAGGCUCUGGUUAAUACCUGGGGCUCAUGACGGUACCGUAAGAAUAAGCACCGGCUAACUACGUGCCAGCAGCCGCGGUAAUACGUAGGGUGCAAGCGUUAAUCGGAAUUACUGGGCGUAAAGCGUGCGCAGGCGGUUUUGUAAGACAGACGUGAAAUCCCCGGGCUCAACCUGGGAAUUGCGCUUGUGACUGCAGUGCUGGAGUGCGGCAGAGGGGGAUGGAAUUCCGCGUGUAGCAGUGAAAUGCGUAGAUAUGCGGAGGAACACCGAUGGCGAAGGCAAUCCCCUGGGCCUGCACUGACGCUCAUGCACGAAAGCGUGGGGAGCAAACAGGAUUAGAUACCCGGGUAGUCC